AAAAAUUAGCCAGGUAUGGUAGCACAUGCCUGUAAUCCCAGCUACUCAGGAGGCUGAGGUAGGAGAAUAGCUUGAACCUAAGAGACGGAGGAUGCAGCGAGCCGAGGCUGCACCAUCGCACUACAGCCUGCGCAACAGAGUGAGAUGUGGUCUCAGAAAAA